rnacentral:rRNA from 1 species
AACGAACGCUGGCGGCAUGCCUAACACAUGCAAGUCGAACGAGACCUUCGUGUCUAGUUGCGCUCGGGUGCGUAACGCGUGGGAACCUGCCCUUAGGUUUGGAAUAACUCCCCGACAGGGGUGCUAAUACCGGAUAAUGUCUUCUGACCAAAGAUUUAUCGCCUUUGGAUGGGCCCGCGUUGGAUUAGCUUGUUGGUAGGGUAAAAGCCUACCAAGGCUACGAUCCAUAGCUGGUCUGAGAGGAUGAUCAGCCACACUGGGACUGAGACACGGCCCAGACUACUACGCGAGGCAGCAGUGGGGAAUAUUGGACAAUGGGCGAAAGCAUGAACCAGUAAGGCCGCGUGAGUGAUGAAGGCCGUAGGGAAGUAAAGCUCUUUUACCCGGGAUGAUAAUGACAGUACCGAGAGAAUAAGCUCCGGCUAACUCCGUG